UACGGGGGGUGCGAGCGUUGUCCGGAAUCACUGGGCGUAAAGGGCGCGUAGGCGGCCUUCUAAGUCGAACGUGAAAUCCCCGGGCUCAACCCGGGAACUGCGUCCGAGACUGGAAGGCUUGAAUCCGGGAGAGGGACGUGGAAUUCCAGGUGUAGCGGUGAAAUGCGUAGAUAUCUGGAGGAACAUCGGUGGCGAAGGCGGCAUCCUGGACCGGUAUUGACGCUGAGGCGCGAAAGCCAGGGGAGCAAACGGG
rnacentral:rRNA from 1 species